rnacentral:lncRNA from 1 species
CCGAUUCUUAACUGGUCAAUUAAGCUUCCAGAAAAUUUAUAUGACCUCAGUAACACUGCAUCAGACGGCUCAUUCCAUUACUUCUCAAAUCCAACUACUGGACAAUUCAUGUGUUUAAUACAUACAGCAAAGAAUUUUGAAAUUUAUAAUUUAAAAGUUAAGAAAGGAAGUUCCUCAUUUGACAAAUGGAUUGACAUUGCAACCGUUUGGCUAUCUCACUUUACGAAAACAUCAUUGAAUGCAAAAGCUAUAUGGGCGCUCUUUAACAGAAGACAAAAAAAAAUUAAGGAAUUGCAAAAGUGCUUCAAUGCCAGAAAUGAUUCAAAAGUUAAAGAAAAACUUAUACGUUUUCUUCAUGAUAAACUUAUUCUGCCGGGAGAAAAGAAAGAAUCAUUUCAAAAUGAAAUAACUAAUGCUACAACAGAUCUAGACACAUCUUCUACCUGUGCAAACAUUAAUGUGACGUACAAUGAU